AAACCAACAGGGAUUGCCUCAGUAACGGCGAGUGAAGCGGCAAAAGCUCAAAUUUGAAAUCUAGCACCUUCGGUGUUCGAGUUGUAAUUUGAAGAUGGUAACCUUGGGUUUGGCUCUUGUCUAUGUUCCUUGGAACAGGACGUCAUAGAGGGUGAGAAUCCCGUCUGAUGAGAUGCCCAUUCCUAUGUAAGGUGCUAUCGAAGAGUCGAGUUGUUUGGGAAUGCAGCUCUAAGUGGGUGGUAAAUUCCAUCUAAAGCUAAAUAUUGGCGAGAGACCGAUAGCGAACAAGUACAGUGAUGGAAAGAUGAAAAGAACUUUGAAAAGAGAGUGAAAAAGUACGUGAAAUUGUUGAAAGGGAAGGGCAUUAGAUCAGACUUGGUGUUUUACGAUUAUCUUCUCUUCUUGAGUUGUGCACUCGUAUUUCACUGGGCCAGCAUCGAUUCGGAUGGUAAGAUAAUGACAGUUGAACGUGGCUUCACUUCGGUGGAGUGUUAUAGCUUCUGUUGAUAUUGCCUGUCUGGAUCGAGGGCUGCGUCUUUUGACUAGGAUGCUGGCGUAAUGAUCUAAUGCCGC
rnacentral:rRNA from 1 species